ensembl:ncRNA lncRNA:CR46410 long non-coding RNA:CR46410
AGUCGCAGUCGCCGCCGUGGUCGUGCAUAGUUUUUAUGGCCACAGGGCGGCCUUUUAACGCCAACUUUGCAGCUCCCCAACUCCCCACCAAUCCACCGCCUUCUCGUGGCAGUUGCAGUGGGGCAACCGUGGCAGCUGGUCGGUGAUGUGGACUCCAGUUGGAGUCGCAAAUGGUCUGGCCCGCGGUCUGGAAAUUUCUGUUUUUUGCCCGGUAGCUGUUGCCACAGCGAAUGCCAAUUUGCAUGUGACGAAAGCGAAGGAGAACAACUUGCUUGCGAGGCGCCUCGAUUCGAGUGAUCCACAUUGUUGAUGACCCGCCGAUCUGACCCAGAGGUCAGAUGUUAAACGGAAGGUACAGCAGAUGGGAGUAUCAAUUCAAAGUCAAACCGAUGUUACUCUUGAUGCAAAGCUAAUAAAACUAAUAACUAAUG